CAUCGUAACUGACAUACGUCAACACGAAAAUGUUUUGGUGUGUGUUCAAAUCGUUAAACUGUCAUUUACAAAAGCAAAACAAACCGGAAUUAUAAGGAUUUGCUCAAAGAUUUUCGUAUUAAUUUAUUUUGUAUUAUUGGUAACGAUUGCAUACUUCGGCCGUAAAUUCAUCAAUUUUAAUUCUUAUUUGUAAUUAGUGUGCCGUAUUGUUUGUAUCCUUUGCACAAUUCGGGACAGCAGUUUAAUCAAAGACAAAUGAAUUAAUCGAGCCAAGUCAAGACUGAUACUAUCGUUUGAAAGAAACUAAAGAAGUAAAAUGGAAUCAGUGAUGUUGGGAUGUUUGGCCGAGGAAGAGGCGCCAAUACGAUUGAUACGACGAAAUUUAAGAAAUAAUUUGAAAUUAAUGGAUCUUCCUGACCAGUUAUUUGUGAAGCAUUUUCGUUUAUCUAAAAGCGCGUUUCAAUACGUCCUUCGAGAAAUUGAAAACGAUUUCCCGUCUACUAGAAAAACUGGUCUCUCUCCAAUGGAAAAAUUAGCCGCAACUCUUCGGUUUUUAGCAGAGGGUAGCUAUCAGCACGGAACUGGACAAGACUUCAACGUGGCUCUGUCGCAGUCAACAUUCUCUAAAGUUCUUGCUGAAACGCUCUUAAUAAUGGAACGUAGACUCUGCCCAGCAUGGAUAUCGCUUGAGAUGACGGAAGAAGAGAAACGCCAAGCAAAAAUAUAUUUCUAUGAAAAAUCUGAAAUUCCAGGCAUCAUUAUGUGCGUGGAUGGAACACACGUAAAAAUAAUUCCCCCGGCGAAAGAUAGAAACUUAUAUUACAAUAGGAAAGGAUAUUAUAGUUUAAACGCAUUAGUCGUAAGUAUGACGUAAAGUUGAUAGAGAAUUACAGUCGAGUGAGCAGCCAAUAUAUGCAGAAUUGUCCAAUAUUCUAUUUAAUUUUCUUUAUGCAUAGGGUCCCAGUUAAGCUCAGCCGGGAAUGAACCGGAAUUCCGGCUGGCUCCAGUUCGUGUUCCGACUACAGUGACACAACCGAUUCUAGUCCAGAUCGCUAAUUGCAAACAGCAAGAAGACAACAUUGAACUGAUGCUAAUUAAGCUAUUUAAGUGUGUUUAAAUAGUGAUCCCCUUACGCACAUAAGAUUAGCUUUUCUAGGCAAUACUCCCACGGUCGGCGGUGUAGAGUUCAAAUUGCUUUUGAAUAGACAACAUAGAAUAUACUCGGUAGCCGGCUACCCCGAGUUUAAAAAGAACCAAAAACUAAACAAGAUCUAUUCUUUUUCGAGUGAUCAUGUACUCAAAGACUAGCUAAACAAAUACCUAAUAAACUAUGCUUUACAGAUCGCAUCGCUAGCUUGGAGCGAAUCCUAGACGUUACACCCAUCCAAACUACCACUCCGCAACACCUAUAGAAGAGCCUGAUGAAUCGUCUACCUUCCGUUAAGUAGGUAGAGCCUCAACACUUUCCGUCUACCUUAUCCUUUAUCCUUGUCCAUGAACGAUGGAGAUGAGGGCGGCCGGCAAUGAUGGCUAUCAUACUGUUGAGGUUUUAAUAUGGGUCGGAUUGGUAUGCAUUCCUACAUACCACUUCCAAAGCAACUCUUAUUAGGAAAUCAGCAGUCAAACAUGAUGAAGUUAGUGUGCAAUCCGUCAAAAUCAUCAUCACAACGCAACGCAACGCACGUGCUCUAGCGUCGACACGUUGCUCAUCAAGUUCGUGUCUGAAACGCCAUUGAAUAUAGGUGCAAGGUGUACUAAGAAUGCAAUAGACAAUUCCACAAUUUUAUUGAACAAAACCUGCCAUGGAAUCAUAGGUUGAAGAAACGAGAAAGGCACAAUUGCAUCACUAGGUGGAUUAAAACUGUUUUUGUGAGAGAAAUAACACAGUUAUUAGAAUACAACAAAUCAACGCAUGUAUGUAUAUCAAUACAAGCCCCACUCUUUUCCCAAUUUCUCUCGACACUACUAUUAUGCUGUAGUAAAACAUCAUUAAAAAAUUUGUGUUGACGUCGGUUUGAAUAUUGAUUCUAAUUCAAGAACAAUCAACUUAUUGUGGACCUUGUAAUCAUAAUUUGUCACCCUAUCUAAUAAGAUCAAUAAGGAAACUUCAAUAUCUUAUAAGAGAAACACCAAAACGAUACAUACAAAUAUUCUAUUUGAUUCCAUCAAAUUACACAAAUAGGCCAAAACAUCAUUAAACAAAUAUUUAUGUUCAAAUACUCCUGCGCUGAUAUGCAAUUUUCAUUUUGCACUCUAUUAUCACAGUCAUGUCACCUAGAGACUAGAAGAAAAUUUCUUUUUAGUCACUAGGUGACGUGACCGUGAGAAAAGGGCCUCCUGAUCUAAUUAAAAUUGCAGCAUAUGGCGACACCUUUCACAUGAACGUAGAUACAUAAUACUCUUCUACCAGCUAAUGGCCUUUUCGGUUACACACAGCCAUUCAUAUGGCCAACUGUAACGAUUGGUUUACUGAAAUAAGUUUCAGAGUAUUUAUACGUAACAUUUCUAAACAUCUAAGCAGCAUCGAUGAAUUUUCGUUUCGUGGGUAAUACAAAGUUGGAACACCUGAAUGCUUAAGUAUCAUUAAUG